rnacentral:rRNA from 1 species
GAGUUUGAUCAUGGCUCAGAUUGAACGCUGGCGGCAUGCCUUACACAUGCAAGUCGAACGGCAGCACGGGAGCUUGCUCCUGGUGGCGAGUGGCGAACGGGUGAGUAAUGCAUCGGAACGUAUCCUGGAGUGGGGGAUAACGUAGCGAAAGUUACGCUAAUACCGCAUAUUCUGUGAGCAGGAAAGCGGGGGACCUUCGGGCCUCGCGCUCUUGGAGCGGCCGAUGUCGGAUUAGCUAGUUGGUGAGGUAAAGGCUCACCAAGGCGACGAUCCGUAGCAGGUCUGAGAGGAUGAUCUGCCACACUGAAACUGAGACACGGUCCAGACUCCUACGGGAGGCAGCAGUGGGGAAUUUUGGACAAUGGGGGCAACCCUGAUCCAGCCAUGCCGCGUGAGUGAAGAAGGCCUCGGUUGUAAG